AUGGAUAUCUUCAGCCGCUCCGCAGCUGCGCUCUUCACCUCCUCUUCGGGCAUGUAUUCAACAGCUCCGUCCGUGAUGUCGUCCAGCCAGCCCUGGAGGUCCGACUCGAUCUCUCUUGUGAUCGAUUCAUCAGAUGCACGCACGACAAACUUGCAUAUCAUCGUGGUUGUCUCGUCACCCAGAUCAACAUUUCGGCUCACCUCACUUGCACCGAAGAUCAUCAUGCCCACAAACCCACCAAACCAUGUCUUUGCGGCGUAA
rnacentral:rRNA from 1 species